UACGUAGGGACCAAGCGUUGUCCGGAAUCAUUGGGCGUAAAGAGCGUGUAGGCGGCUUGUUAAGUCUUGCGUGAAAUCUCGGGGCUCAACCCCGAGACGUCGGUGGAAACCACCUGGCUAGAGUCCGGAAGAGGAGAGUGGAAUUCCUGGUGUAGCGGUGAAAUGCGCAGAUAUCAGGAAGAAUAUCCGUGGCGAAGGCGGCUCUCUGGGACGGUACUGACGCUGAGACGCGAAAGCGUGGGGAGCGAACAGG
rnacentral:rRNA from 1 species